rnacentral:lncRNA from 1 species
UUAAAUUAACCUUCAGAUUUCCCUAGAAUCAUUGAAUCGGAUGAAUAUGCAUCGCAAACAAAUUAUUCCUAACAAGUUCUCUAUAUGAACAGCAUGAUAAAGACACAAGUUAGAAUCAUUAUGUUCUUUGGAAAUCAUAAGCAUCGACAAGGCAUUUGUAACUAUGGAAAGCAUGAUACUCUUGCCAGGAAUCUACUUAACACGAUCGUGACUAGCGACCUUCACUACUUGCGAAUAUAAAUUCAUAACGAUUAGGUGAAACAAAUUUAUAUCCUAGCACCAAAUUCAAACAUG